GACGAACGCUGGCGGUGUGCUUAACACAUGCAAGUGGUGCGACGAACCAGAGCUUGCUCUGGGGCAAAGCCGCGAACGGGUGAGUAACACGUGGGUAAUCUACCCCGAUGACCGGGACAACCCGAGGAAACUCGGGCUAAUACCGGAUGUGGUACGGAGACAUAAGUCUCUUUACUAAAGGUAGCUUCGGCUUCCGCAUUGGGAGGGGCCCGCGGCCCAUUAGCUAGUUGGAGGGGUCAAGGCCUACCAAGGCAACGAUAGGGGUAGCGUGGUCUGAGAGGACGAUCAGCCACACUGGGACUGAGACACGGCCCAGACUCCUACGGGAGGCAGCAGUGGGGAAUCUUGCGCAAUGCGCGAAAGCGUGACGCAGCAACACCGCGUGAGGGAAGACGGCCUUAGGGUUGUAAACCUCUUUCAGAUGGACGAAGGUGAUGCGGUGAAUAGCCGAUGUCAUUGACGUACCGUCAGAAGAAGCUCCGGCUAACUACGUGCCAGCAGCCGCGGUAAU
rnacentral:rRNA from 1 species